UAGGGAAUAUUGGACAAUGGGCGCAAGCCUGAUCCAGCCAUGCCGCGUGAGUGAAGAAGGCCCUCGGGUUGUAAAGCUCUUUUGUCCGGAAAGAAAAGCAUCGGGCUAAUACCCUGGUGUUCUGACGGUACCGGAAGAAUAAGCACCGGCUAACUUCGUGCCAGCAGCCGCGGUAAUACGAAGGGUGCAAGCGUUACUCGGAAUUACUGGGCGUAAAGCGUGCGUAGGUGGUUUGUUAAAGUCUGAUGUGAAAGCCCUGGGCUCAACCUGGGAAUGGCAUUGGAAACUGGCGGACUCGAGUGCGGUAGAGGGGUGUGGAAUUCCCGGUGUAGCAGUGAAAAUGCGUAGAGAUCGGGAGGAACACCAGUGGCGAAAGGCGACACCCUGGACCAGCACUGACACUGAGGCACGAAAAGCGUGGGGAGCAAAACAGGAUUAAGAUACCCUGGUAGUCCACGCCCUAAAACGAUGCGAAACUGGAUGUUGGGUGCAACUUGGCACUCAGUAUCGAAGCUAAACGCGUUAAAGUUCGCCGCCUGGGGGAGUACGGUCGCAAGACUGAAAACUU
rnacentral:rRNA from 1 species